UACUGUGUGAGCUGUGCUAUUCAUAGCA
rnacentral:piRNA from 1 species